rnacentral:misc_RNA from 1 species
UGUUAUAAACUCGGUGAAAUAAUUAGCAUCAAAUCAAGCCGAAGUCAAGAGUUCAAUCAGGUUACAAAUAAAUAAAAAUGUCUUUAUGGACAAGACUUCCAGUAUUUAGAGAAUUAAAAAAUUGGGAUACAAAUCUCACGUGACAGCCAGUAGAAAAACUAUGGCAUUAGUGUUCAGACCUGUUCAUUUGUGCUGCCAAAUGACUGGCGGUUGCUGGAACUUGAGGAACUACUGGUAGAACAAUGGCUCGCUACUGUCAUCGACUCUCCAUCUGAUGAGCUUAAUGCAUGGCGUGAAGUGUUAUAUUUCGAAAACAAGUAAAGAAGUGAUAUAUUCCGACUUUGUAGCUGUUUCGAAUCACCUGUAGAUUGGCAAGCUCUACGACUUGAUAGAUUACUUGCACAAGAGCUUAUCGUAUCAAUUGCCAUUGCCUCUUCAUCAGGAGAUGUUACAAGACGUUGGUGAGUUUCAGAGACGUUUGUAGAGGUACAAAGCAUGGGGUCCAGAUUCACCAACUCCAUAGAACUGGAAGCAGUUGCAGCACUGCAAUCACUUUCCAUCUCCAUUGUCUCCUUAAAGGAGGAACUUAAAUCACGCUGCGAACCUAAUUUAAGCUUUAUCAAUGUAGCCUCGUAGAUGGAGAGAGGAUCGUCUUUGAAGAUCUUGGAAGGUGGCCUCUCCAAGCUAUCCAACGAAGAAGUAGAUGGUCUGAGCCUUCCGAACAUAGUCUCCUUGUCUCCAGCAUUCAGCAGAAGAGCCCCGGUGAAGCAGACGAGGUUAUUUAGACCUAGGGCAGAGAAGAAAGAGAUGCUUCCUAACUCUCGGCUUUUGGCGCCACAAUUGAG